GGCCGGUUGGCGCAAUGGUAGCGCGCAGCCCUCCUAAGGCUGAGGCUGUGGGUUCGAGUCCCACAUCGGUCG
rfam:Alternaria alternata strain SRC1lrK2f unplaced genomic scaffold CC77scaffold_13, whole genome shotgun sequence.